GAAAGAAAGGCACCGUUCCCUCGCCAGCCACCUCUCUCCACAUCCACCAGCGGUUCUUGUGCGAGUCCAGUAACGUCCCUGUCGCAACACUGCUUUUGUGUAAAUGUCAACGCUCAAAACUCAACGGACAGCCAGAGCGGCGAGCAGCUUAUACACCAUGAAAAACAGCUGCUAGGCACCGAGUCUGAGAUGGAGACCGAGACUGCAACUGCAGCGAUUCGUUCGACGAACAAAGAGGGAGGCGUCUGUGUGGAAACCUACAGCUAUGAAGAAAGUGCGAAUGGUUGCGUGAACGAUUCUACUUCUGUUGGAGAUGGAGCAAGAAACGACCCGUUCAACAUAGUUGCGAUCCUCAAGCGUCAACUUGACUUAGAGGAAAAAAGACGAAGAAAGGCAGAGUCAGAGCGCGACAGCUUGAGGGAAGGUUUUGGCCAACUUCUCGCGCCUGAUCAGCUGCGUAUGAUGGAGAGGGGCGCAAUGCGAGGAUCAGUUUGGUCCAAAGAUACUAUUCACCGUGCACUGAAACUGCGUUUGUCUUGCGGUGCCCGUGGUUACGACUAUUUACGCACUACGGGUUGGCCUCUUCCUGCUGAAAGAACACUUCAAGAGCACAUUGACGAUAUAAAGAUGGCUCCACGUAAGAAAACAAGGUUUAAAAUUUUUAAAGCCUGCUGAUCACCUUUUUGUAUGCUGCAGGCGUA
rnacentral:lncRNA from 1 species